rnacentral:rRNA from 1 species
UACAGAGGUCUCAAGCGUUGUUCGGAUUCAUUGGGCGUAAAGGGUGCGUAGGUGGCGCCGUAAGUCAGGUGUGAAAUUUCGGAGCUUAACUCCGAAACUGCAUUUGAUACUGCGGUGCUUGAGGACUGGAGAGGAGACUGGAAUUUACGGUGUAGCAGUGAAAUGCGUAGAGAUCGUAAGGAAGACCAGUGGCGAAGGCGGGUCUCUGGACAGUUCCUGACACUGAGGGACGAAGGCCAGGGGAGCAAACGGG